rnacentral:tRNA from 1 species
GCACACAUAGCUCAGCUGGAUAGAGCAUCUGACUUCGGAUCAGAGGGCCGAGGGUUCGAAUCCUUCUGUGUGCG